rnacentral:rRNA from 1 species
CCUACGGGUGGCAGCAGUGAGGAAUAUUGGUCAAUGGACGAAAGUCUGAACCAGCCAAGCAGCGUGAAGGAUGACUGCCCUAUGAGUUGUAAACUUCUUUUGUACAGGAGUAAACCGAAGCACGUGUGCAUUUUUGCAUGUACUUUACGAAUAAGGAUAGGCUAACGCCGUGCCAGCAGCCGCGGUAAUACGGAGGAUCCGAGCGUUAUCCGGAUUUAUUGGGUUUAAAGGGAGCGUAGAUGGGUUGUUAAGUCAGGUGUGAAAUUUUGGGGCUUAACCUGGAAAUUGCAAUUGAUACUGGCAAUCUUGAGUGCAGGUGAGGUAGGCGGAAUUCGUGGUGUAGCGGUGAAAUGCUUAGAUAUCACGAAGAACCCCGAUUGCGAAGGCAGCUUACUAAACUGUGACUGACGUUGAGGCUCGAAAGUGUGGGUAGCAAACAGGAUUAGAUACCCUAGUAGUC